AUAAUCAACAGUGUGUAUUUUCUUUGCCUCCCCUUUCGAAUGCAACAUUCAAAUUACUAGACAAAAAAUAUAUCCAGAGGAAAGUGGAUAUUGAGGGGUACAGCUCCAUAGACCUCCAUGCAUUCUGCGCUUGCUUGUGAGCGCCCUCACAUGGAAUCUAGGAACUGCAACCAGUCCAGAAACCGGAAGUAACCAGACAGUGCCAAUUCUCUUCCUAUUACAUUCUCAUACAUAUUGUUUGCACUGCACUACCUGUCUAUACUGUUAACAUGGCACUUUUCUGCUGGUUUGCAGUUCUGGUCAGAAGCUAACUGCAUUUCGUUGUCUCUGUACUUGUACUCUACACAAUGACAAUAAAGUGGAAUCUAAUUGGGGACAGGUCGAUGUGAAGGGCUCAUCAAUCUUGGUAACAGAGAUUGCAUCUGGACUCCUGCUAUGAACGUUUCCAUCCCAUUCAAUGAAACCCAAGGCGCCAUGUCAAAUUUUUCUUUUCGGACUUUUGAUCCAGAGGGGGUCUUAUUCUAUGGGGAAGUGAUGGGGAAGACUGGUUUGUCCUCCUUCUACGGCAUGGUGUUCCAGAGAUGCAGAUUGGACAGGGAGACUAGUUGGUCUCCGUGGCAGGUGGCCGCAAACUAAACAAUGGCAUCUGGCAUAGGAUCUUCCUGGGGUUGAUCCAGAGGACGAGAGGAUCAUCAUAACUGUAAAUCCAUCUUCUGGACCAUACUCUCCUUACGGUCACUUCAGUCCCAUUCAACAGUCUUGAGCCUGGCUGAGGACAUGGACUCUGGGAUGAUGAUUUUCAUAUUAAACACAGAAUCCACUCCCAUAACUUUGAAGUUUGAUAAGGACUUCAAUUCCUUUAAUGUGAUAAUCGAAAAAACCUCAGUGGCCUUUGCAAGAAAACCUGAUUCAAGUGAAUCUGAGCAGCAGUUAAACA